GCUAUCGAUUUGUAUUCCAGUAAAUUGAGCGCAAUCUGAGCCCUUUCUGAUAAAUUCACCUUCUUUCAUUUAGGAGAUUCUAAAUCCACUGAACAUAGCUUUUCAAUUCUCUCGACUCUUCCACUCCCCCUCUCUACCUCUCCGACUCCAUAGUUCCAAUAACUAUCAAUUUUGACUCAUAGAUAAACAUUUUCAGCAAUGAAUCCCAGACGAUCACUUCUUUUGUGAAGCAGAUGAUGAGAGAUCAUGGGAUCCAUUCUUCGUCGUCUCAGUUGUUGGUCCUUAUUGUUCAUUUGUUGCCGUUAUUGUUUAUCCAGAGGUUAAAUCAGAAGGAGUUGCUGAAAGAUGUGCAAAUACAUGUCUAAUUCUUUAAGUAGAUUCAAUAUUUGUGAUGGCGCUACCAGGUGCUUCUCCCUGUUAAUUCGAUUACACUUUGUUGCUGCAUUGGUGCAAAGAUGACAAGUAUAAAUGGUCAAGUUUGGUGCCUGAGAAUAUCUUGUGAAAGAGGAACUUAGCCGUACUGUUCAGACUAAUUCAUGCCAUGCCAAGUCGUUGUGCUCGUCUUGAACUUGGCAUUACUGUUUAGGCUAAUUCAUGCCAUGCCAAUGUCAUUGAGAGUACCCCACUUGUUUGGGUUGAGACAUCAUUGUUUUAAUUGUAGUAUAUGCUAGGUUUUGUUGGAGUGUAUCUCAAAACUCUCCACAUUACAUUCAAUUCCUAAGAUAUUUGUGAGCUGGACUUCACCAAUUAUUUUGAGCAAGUAUUUAUAGUUGAAGUUGUUGUCCCUACAAAGAUACUACACCUACUUAAUUCUGCUGAGGAAGCUCUAGCUUUUAAUAUUUGGCCCACUCUUCAACAAUCAACAGUGAUAUUUAAAUUGAAUACUGAAUGUCUGCAUUCAAUAUGAAGUCGUAUAUCUCUGUAACUUAAGCCAUUCUGACGUACUGGUGGUGUAUUUCAAUAAGUAGCAGCUUUCAGUUUUGAGAAAUUUUUGUGGCCGACUAACUUCUUAAUUACGUACUUCAAUGUGGUGGGAUUAAUAUACUACUUUUGUCUCAUUUUUAUGACUCAAAGAAAUUAUUAAGAAAAGUGAGUAAAAAAUUAUUAACGGUCGACAUCUUUUCUUUUGAGAAUUACUGUCACGACCCAAAAUUCCAUUGGAACCGUGAUGACGCCUAACACCGAUUGCUAGGCAAGCCAAUAGCAGAUGUGAUGGAUUAAAAUUCAACAACAAUAAGAAAAAGUUUCAAACAACGGAAUAACAUAAAUAACUGAAGUCAUAAUUAUAAUAUAUUUGAAACCACCCAAAAUUUGGUGUCACCGAGUGCAUGAGUUAAAGUACUAAAUACAAAGUUUGAAUAAAAUACACUAUUGUUAUUGUCUGAAAGACUAAACAGUAAUAUCAUAAGAUAAAGGAGGAGACUUCAAGGCAUGCGAACGUAACAACAAUACUACCUCGAAAUCUCCAAGAAAAUCCGGAUAAACAGCUCACUAGCAACCACCGCUAUCAGUGAUAUUCGGCUUAAAGUAUGCAUAUUCUUGUGUAUAAUGCCUGGCAUUUUGCUCAUUCUUCUUCUAUUGUUCAUUGAAUUUAUGUUUGAAAACAUUAUUUUUGAUGAUUUGAUGAAUAUGAGUGGCUAAGAACUUUAUUAUGGGGUCAUGGUUGCUACAUGAGUGUUGACGUUUAAAGUUUAAAUUUACGAGUGUUAUUUUAUCAUAUUGGGUUGUUUAUUUAAUUCCGUUCUUAAUUAUUUUGAUACGUAGCUAACAGUGAAAUUCUAUCUACGAAUCUAGAGUUGAACUCGAAAGUGGGAAUUCUAGAUUGCAGAUAGGAUUAAAUAGAGGAAGUUCUUGAACCCAGGCGUCGGGGAACGAAUUCGCAAUUAGGAUGUAAAUAUACCUAAUUAUCUUGCUUGGUUAAAAUACAGGAAAUAUAAAUGCAUUCUUGUUAGUCAUAAUUCCAUAGACAUAUAGGUAUUAAUUUAGCUUGAAUAGGCGAGUAAGACUCGACAGAUUCUUAUGAGUAAUGUCAACCCUAUCAAUCAACAAACCAGAUAAAUCAAUUAGUCAGUUUUAGCCAAGAACGCAACAAGAUUGUUAGCUUGUAUAUGACCCUGGAAUAUCCUCUCCUACUAAUUUUAUUAGAAAUAGCCUAAGUGUUGUGGUUGAUCUCUUGUAACUUCAUUGCUUGAUAGUUUUUUAGGUAGUAAAUUAAUCACUUACACAUUUUGUGAAAAAUAUCUUGAAUCGAUAAGUUAUUUAAGUUUGAAUCAGUCAAAAGUUAAUCAUAAGUCUCCGUGGGAACGAUACUCUACUCACUACUCUAUUACUUGACGGCCACAUAUACUUACGUGAGUGUGUUUGGUCGCAACAAGCUUUUGGCGCCGUUGCCGAGGACUUAGAAAUUAGCUACUUGUCUGAGUUAAGCUUUUAUUAGUUAUUUGUUCAAGUUUUAAUUUUCAGUUUG